UACGUAGGGUGCGAGCGUUGUCCGGAAUUAUUGGGCGUAAAGAGCUCGUAGGCGGUGUGUCGCGUCGGCCGUGAAAACCUGGGGCUCAACUCUGGGCGUGCGGUCGAUACGGGCAUCACUUGAGUUCGGCAGGGGAGACUGGAAUUCCUGGUGUAGCGGUGGAAUGCGCAGAUAUCAGGAGGAACACCGAUGGCGAAGGCAGGUCACUGGGCCGCAACUGACGCUGAGGAGCGAAAGCGUGGGGAGCGAACAGG
rnacentral:rRNA from 1 species